AGGACGAACGCUGGCGGCGUGCUUAAAACAUGCAAGUCGAACGAGACCUUUGGUCUAGUGGCGAACGGCGGAGUAAUACAUAAGCAACCUGCCUCAAAGACCGGGAUAGCCCCUCGAAAGAGGGAUUAAUACCGGAUGUGGCCUUUUGUGGGCAUCCACGAAAGAUUAAAACGAGUAAUCGGCUUUGAGAGGGGCUUGUGGCCUAUCAGCUUGUUGGUGGGGUAAUGGCCUACCAAGGCUUCGACGGGUAGCGGGUCUGAGAGGAUGAUCCGCCCGACUGGGACUGAGACACGGCCCGGACUCCUACGGGAGGCAGCAGUUGGGAAUCUUGCACAAUGGGCGAAAGCCUGAUGCAGCGACGCCGCGUGGAGGACGAAGUCUCUCGGGAUGUAAACUCCUUUUGCCAGGAACGAUAAUGACGGUACUGGUAGAAUAAGCCCGACUAACUACGUGCCAGCAGCCGC
rnacentral:rRNA from 1 species